rnacentral:rRNA from 1 species
UACGGGGGGGGCAAGCGUUGUUCGGAGUUACUGGGCGUAAAGGGCUCGUAGGCGGCCAACUAAGUCAGACGUGAAAUCCCUCGGCUUAACCGGGGAACUGCAUCUGAUACUGGAUGGCUCGAGUUCGGGAGAGGGAUGCGGAAUUCCAGGUGUAGCGGUGAAAUGCGUAGAUAUCUGGAGGAACACCGGUGGCGAAGGCGGCAUCCUGGACCGACACUGACGCUGAGGAGCGAAAGCCAGGGGAGCAAACGGG